rnacentral:rRNA from 1 species
UUACCGAGUUUACAACUCCCAAACCCAUGUGAACAUACCUAUUGUUGCUUCGGCGGGAUUGCCCCGGGCGCCUCGUGUGCCCCGGAUCAGGCGCCCGCCUAGGAAACUUAAACUCUUGUUUUAUUUUGGAAUCUUCUGAGUAGUUUUUACAAAUAAAUAAAAACUUUCAACAACGGAUCUCUUGGUUCUGGCAUCGAUGAAGAACGCAGCGAAAUGCGAUAAGUAAUGUGAAUUGCAGAAUUCAGUGAAUCAUCGAAUCUUUGAACGCACAUUGCGCCCGCCAGUAUUCUGGCGGGCAUGCCUGUCUGAGCGUCAUUUCAACCCUCAUGCCCCUAGGGCGUGGUGUUGGGGAUCGGCCAAAGCCCGCGAGGGACGGCCGGCCCCUAAAUCUAGUGGCGGACCCGUCGUGGCCUCCUCUGCGAAGUAGUGAUAUUCCGCAUCGGAGAGCGACGAGCCCCUGCCGUUAAACCCCCAACUUUCCAAGGUUGACCUCAGAUCAGGUAGGAAUACCCGCUGAACUUAAGCAUAUCAAUAAGCGGAGGAAAAGAAACCAACAGGGAUUGCCCUAGUAACGGCGAGUGAAGCGGCAACAGCUCAAAUUUGAAAUCUGGCGCAAGCCCGAGUUGUAAUUUGUAGAGGAUGUUUCUGGCGACGUGCCUUCCGAGUUCCCUGGAACGGGACGCCAUAGAGGGUGAGAGCCCCGUACGGUUGGAUGCCUAGCCUCUGUGAAACUCCUUCGACGAGUCGAGUAGUUUGGGAAUGCUGCUCUAAAUGGGAGGUAUACGUCUUCUAAAGCUAAAUACCGGCCAGAGACCGAUAGCGCACAAGUAGAGUGAUCGAAAGAUGAAAAGCACUUUGAAAAGAGGGUUAAAAAGUACGUGAAAUUGUUGAAAGGGAAGCGUUCAUGACCAGACUUGGGCAGGUUGAUCAUCCGUGGUUCUCCGCGGUGCACUCUGCCUGCCCAGGCCAGCAUCAGUUCGCCCCGGGGGAUAAAGGUUUUGGGAAUGUGGCUCCCUCGGGAGUGUUAUAGCCCACUGCGUAAUACCCUGGGGU